UACAGGGGGUGCAAGCGUUGCUCGGAAUCACUGGGCGUAAAGCGUACGCAGGCGGACCGAUAAGUCGGGUGUGAAAGCCCAGGGCUCAACCCUGGAACUGCAUUCGAAACUGUCGGUCUUGAGUACGGGAGAGGUGAGUGGAAUUCUUGGUGUAGAGGUGAAAUUCGUAGAUAUCAGGAAGAACACCGGUGGCGAAAGCGGCUCACUGGCCCGAUACUGACGCUCAUGUACGAAAGCGUGGGGAGCAAACAGG
rnacentral:rRNA from 1 species